rnacentral:lncRNA from 1 species
CAUAUUCUGAAGUUAAAAAUUUUACUGUUCAAUACUAAAUAGUUAAACAGUUACUUUUAAAAUGGAAUUACGGAACAAUGGGGGAUGUCAUUGCAGAUUUUGACUGGCUCUUGCUUUGAAUAAUUUCAGAUUCUUACUUGUUGCUGUCAUUUUCUCACCUUGCAUUAUAUAGAACAUACAUUUUAAAAUGUCAGAAUUUUUUGUCUGACUUAGAUGCACACACCAGAAGUGUCUGGAAAAGAGUAGAUGAAACAGCACUUGGAAGAGACUUUGGCCAGGAGAUGGAAUUUUAUUUGAUCUUAAUACCAAAUGACUUUUAAAAUGAAAUGAGAAGUUUCAGUUUUCCACUUUUCAAUUCUUUUGGCAAGAUAUGAUUCAGAGAAAUCCAAGAGGAGUGCAUUGAGUGGGAUGAUGUAAUGUGAGAUGCCAAGAACACUGAUGACUUAAGAAUGGAAAAAAUAGAAAACUGCUUGAAGGUUCGAGCAAUUCAAAUAUUGAGAAAGAAAUAUCUCAUUCAAUUUGAUGAGAAGGAAAUUUUGGUGAUUUUAUUUCUUUUAGUAUAGAAAUGGGUUAAUUUUAGAAGUCUGCAUUUCACCUGGGAGUACAGCCCCCGCUUAACAAAGCAGGCAUUUCACAUGAACCUCCUACCCAUUUGUAAAGCUUUAAAAGUCCAGAGAAAGAAUGAUGAACUGAUAAGCAAAAAACUCACAAAAUUAAUCCUAAGAAGGAAAUAUUUCCCUUAAAUGCCUAUAAGCACUGUUAGAUGUCUGAGGAACCACAGCACGGUAGGGAAGUUUUUGUUCUGCAAAUAAGAAUUUUUAUUCAAAAUACUUACGAAAGCCCUCGCUCUUCAGUUUUUAUGUGUGAGGGCAAAUUAUAUCUGCACUGGACUCUUAUCUGGAUGAUGACUAUUUAAAGUUGAGCACUGAGGCUUUAUUUAGAUCUAGAAUAAACAUAAUCUUCUCAAAGGACCUUAUUUUUUAAAUCGUAUGUCUCCUUGACUCCCUCGGUUUUAUGAAAUCAUCUAAUAUUCUUAACCUACACAUUUUCUAGAAUCCUCCUAGAAGGGGAUUCUUCUUUUGUUUGUGUGUGACAUGUGAAAUUAAAUGUAAUUCACUUUCAGUGUCAUAAACAAACUACCACUGGAAUACAGCCACCUCAUUUGCUACAGAUCAUCCGGUCUGCUUUGCUCGACAACAGCAAAGAAAUUGGGUAAUCUUCACAGGACCCUGUGGCCACGAAACCUAAAAUAUUGUCUUUCAUUUUCUGCAAAGUUUACAGACCCUUAUUGUAGAUGAGUAUGUGUCAAACUCUAGUGUACAUACCCAUCACCUGGGGAUCUUAUUAAAAUGUAGAUUCUGGUAAUCUGAUCAGUGGUAUUCUGUCCAGUGGUUAAUGAGAAGACCUGGGAAAGAGAUACAGCCUUCAGCACUUUCUCUCCUAGAGGCUGCAGGUCUUUUCCUUCCCACCUCUAUUCCCUUAUUGGUCAUCAGGACCCAGAGGAAUGAGAGUCAGACAGACAGAUCUAGGCUGGGUGCCGCCACAUGGAGAGAAGGUUAGCCAGUAUGAUCCCCUUGUCAGCCCAGCUAGUUGAGAAGACCUGGGCAGGAUGGAGUAGCAAGUGUGUGUGGAGGGAACUGACCUGCUCCCUACCAGCUCAAUAUGACAUCUUCUUCUCCCCUACUUUGCCUAAAACCCCAUCAUUACAUCCCUGUAGGUGUAGGAUAGGAUUCCUUUCUGUCUCUGUUGCCCAGGCUGACAUAGUGAGAACUUCUGGCUCUCUUCUCCUUCACAUUUUUCACUUUAUCCUUUUCCUCUAUUUCUUCAUAAACAACAUAAGAAAUGAAGGAUGAGAAAUCUCAACAGAUAUGGCAGAAUACAAAAAACUGUAAGAGAAUACUAUGAACAAUGAACAAUUAUAUGCCAACAGAUUUGACAACCUAGAAGAAAUGGACAACUUUCUAGUGAUAUACAGCCUGCUAAAACUGAAUCAAGAUGAAACAGAUAAUUUGAACAGACCAAUCACUAGAAAUGAAAUUGAAUAUGUCAUAAAAACACUGCCUGCAAACAAAAGUCCAGGACCAGAUGGCUUCACAGGUGAAUUUUACCAAACAUACAAGGAAGAACUUAUACCCAUCUUUCUUAAACUUUUUCAAAAGAUUGAAGAAGGGACACUCCCAAAGACAUUCUAUUAAGCCAUCAGCUGCUAUUUUUAUAUGGAGAACUUCCAAAAUAUUUGACCAGGCUUUUUACUGAGUACUGGUUUGCCCUCUUGUGAUUUCUCCUUGGAUGGAUCAGAUUUAACAUUCAAGUUUCAUCAAUUCAGAUGAAAUAUUCUCCCAAAUGGGUUCAUCAGCUCAAGCCCGCUUCUUUUCCAGUGGUCUCUCUAAUAGGAAAUGGUGGGCACCUUCCAGUCAGCUAUUCAUGCCACAGAUCUGGCAGUUGGCUUUGCUUCUCCCUCUUUCUUGACCUCCCUGACCUAUUAUUAUUACCACCUCCUAAAUAUCUUUGGAAUCCAUCCACUUCUGUCCUUUCUCACUGUCACCAUUAUAAUCUAAGCAUCAUUUGUCCCCUGUUUUGCAGUUGUUUUCUAUAGAAAUCCCUACAUCUAAUUUUGCCAAACUAAAAUCACUUGUCUUCACUAUGGCUGGAGUAAUCUGUUUAAAAUGAAAGCAUGAUAUCUCACUUCCUUAGAAUGAGGUCCAAACUCCUUAUUAUGAUCUGCAGGUCCUGCAUACCUGGCCCCAGUCCAAGUCUCUGGCCUCUCUCAUUCCUUAUUCCCUUGCUUCCUGGGUUCUGCCAUAUUAGAUUUUCUUCCAUGUUCUAUUUCAGCCAAGUGCUUUAAACAUAUGUGCUUAUAAUCUAAUUUCAUAAUACCGCAGAUAAUCUAUCUGAACACAUAUUAUUACGGCCCUCAGUAGAGCAUAAAUGCUUCCCAUGGGGGUACUGUGCAAACCAAAGUUAGGAGCAGAAUUAAGUUAGGUGCCUAAGCAGAAGAUAAGCUUCCUGCUUAGACAUGUGACAUGUUAUGGGCUCAGAUGGAAGAAGAGUACAAGAGAGAUUCCAGAUCCCUGUGCCCCUCACAUUGCUGAGGAAAUGAGUCCCCAGCUGUAGCCACACUUCUAAAUGAGACAUGGAGGCAGCAUUCAUUAUCAGACACAAUUCCACUACACAGAUUUUCCCUUUAAGGAUGUUUUGGGAUUUAGUUGUUCUUCCCAGGCCAUAGAGGAAUUGUCUCAAAGUGUCUCAGCCUCAGUAAUGCUCGUGGCUCCAUUCUUACGCUCAAUGUAAAGUGUCAAUUUAUUGAGAAUUUUCUGUGACAGUAAAUAUUAAUUAUAAUCCUUGAUUCAAUAAUAUCCAAGAGUUUUUGAUUUAUUGAAUGAUACGUAAUUCUUAUCUAACCAUAUAACAUGCCAUUGUUAACACUGUUUUCAGACGAGGAAGUUCAGGUUAAGUAACUUGUCCCGAGACAUUAUGUAGAGGAACCUGAACCUGAAAACUUUAUUGAGAAAUAGCUUGUUUUCCUGAAUGUAGGCUCAUACUGAAGAGCAGUGAGAAAUUUAGCAGCCUUUUUCUUACAAGUCACCCCAGCCCACAUCCCCAUUCCAGGCUUGACCAGGCUUCUCAGGUGCUCUGAGUUCUCCUCGACACUCACAUCUCAUAGUUCACCAUCUGUGUGUUCCACUUGGAGGGAGGUCAGUGGUCUAAGUGUGGAUUUUCCUUUGUCUGUUGGAGGGCAUUUUGCCCCUUAAGAAUAUUAGUGUGGAAGUUCCAGUUGUGGCUCAGUGGUAACGAGCCUGACUUGUAACCAUGAGGUUGCGGAUUCUAUCCCUGGCCUUGCUCAGUGGGUUGAGGAUCCAGCAUUGCUGUGAGCUGUGGCGUAUGUUACAGAUGAGGCUUAGACCCUGUGUGGCUGUGGCUGUGGCUGUGACCAGGGCUGCAGCCUGAUAUACCCCCUAGCCUGGGGACUUACAUAUGCCAUAGGUGCAACCCU